rnacentral:hammerhead_ribozyme from 1 species
AUCCGGCUGACAGGUCUUAAAUAGGAGGAAACGCGCGUCAUGGAU